rnacentral:lncRNA from 1 species
AUAGCUCAAAUUUUACAAAAUACUGGGGGCUUUUGCCUGAGACCUGGAUGACAUAGUUGUGUAAGAAUGGGGGGUUCCUCUGAAGACUAUUGGACUUCUGAGAAGAAAGAUCUAAGUUGUCUCUGUGUGAUAUGGAGUCAGCCUUCACUGCCCUCGAAGUCUGUCUGAUAGAGGUGUUGAAUGCUCAGUGAACUCCAUGAUCUUCCUGAAACCCAACUUUGAUUCAGCGGGCUCUGCUUGGAAGCCUUUAAAGAGCGGGAUCAUAAGAUUAAACUUGGAACACAUGAUCACUAUUUUCUUCUGGUCUUCUGUCAGCAAGGUGUCAACAGUCCUCUCUAUUGUAAAUGCAUUAACCAGCAUCUUCUCUGAUAGAAAUUUUGAGAAGAUACAGCCUGUACACCAACCAGCAUUGGAGGCAUCAUGGCUUCUGGAGAAAGAAGAUACAGCCACAAGAAGGUAUGUGUUGCAAAAGCAGUCAUCCAUCUCAUCUUGCCACCACCCAAGAUGGCCCAGGAUGUGGGCUCUCCCUGAGUGAAUCUUUGGCCAUCUGCCAACCUGAUGUGGUCAGCCUCCUUCUUUAGAAAGGGCCAUUCUCAGUUCUGGCAGGGAGUUUUCCCAAAGUUGAGAAGGUGACAUUCUUACUCCCCAGUGCAGCCUGCACCUCUGACCCGUGGUCAGCAGACAGGACAGACACGGGCAGGCUCUGUGUCCUAAAGCAGAUGGAACUGUGCGACCAUCCUGAUUGGAAAUUUGUGAGGAUCACCGUGUUACUCAACCUCUGAGGAGCCUCCAGCUCACAAGGACAGAGGAGGUGGAGAGAGGCCAGUCAACGCGAGGGUGGUGCGGGUGGCCCCUCUGAGGCCUGGUUUUGCUCUUUGUGGGUACGCUGUACAAGACAUCUCUAAAGAAGACACUGUAUAUGACAUCUGUAAUGAGGAUGCUGUAGACAUCUCUGAUGAGGACACUGUAGAUAUCUCUAAUGAGGCUUCUGUACAUGACAUCUCUAAUGAGGCUGCUGUAUGUGACAUCUCUAACGAUGCCGUAAACAUCUCUAAUGAGGCUGCUGUACGUGACAUCUCUAAUGACGCUGUAGACAUCUGUAAUGAGGCUGCUGUACAUGACAUCUCUAAUGAGGACACUAUAGAAGACAUUUCUUAUGAGGACACUGUAUACGACAUCACUAAUGAGGAUGCUGUACGAUACCUCUGUAAAAAAGAUGCUACCAAGGAGCCAUUGACACUGGAGAAUGAUUUGAUUGUGGAGAGCAUGUCUGAUGACGAGGAUUUUGCAGCUUAAAGGGAGCUCCCGGGGUGAGUGAUGGAGGCGGGAUCGGACCCUGGCAGUUUGACGGCAACACCUGUGUUCCUCUGCACUGGGCCGUGGAUGACAUUACACACCUUGGUGAGAAUCAGGAAUUGAGGCUAAUCACAUCUGAAAUUGAGCUCGCUCACUGGACAGGAUAGACUGGGCGCCCAGGCCUCAAGGGCUUAUGAUUUCUUCUCGGGUUUGAAACAUGCCCCCAGAUGAGCAAGACGGGGCUGCCACAUUGACGGAGCAGCUGCGGGACACACCCAAGAAACCUCCUGGAGAACACAGGGGACAUUCACGGCUGGAGGCUUCAUCUAUGGCCGGGGGCUUCAUCCAUGAGCUGGGGACUUCAUCCAUGGGCUGGGGACUUCAUCCAUGACUGGGGACCUCAUCCACGUCUGGAGACUUCAUCCGCGACUGGGGGCUUCAUCCAUGGGCUGGGGGAUUCAUCCACGGGCUGGGGGCUUCAUCCAUCACUGGGGGCUUCAUCCACGGGCUGGGGGCUUCAUCCAUGACUGGGGGCUUCAUCCACGGGCUGGGGGCUUCAUCCAUGGGCUGGGGGCUUCAUCCAUGACUGGGGGCUUCAUCCACGGGCUGGGGGCUUCAUCCAUGACUGGGGACUUCAUCCACGACUGGAGACUUCAUCCAUAGGCUGGGGGCUUCAUCUACAGCUGGAGACUUCAUCCACAGCAGGGGCUUCAUCCUUGGUUGGUUUGCCUGAUCUGUAUCCUAACGUUGUCCGGUCUGCAGAUGGCGGCGGCUGCUGAGGGAGCUCCUUCCCCUCCUCCCGCCUACCCUGCUAGGGCUAGGCCACAGAUACACAGGGCGAGUGGGAGUGUCUAGGGGAGAAGAUUUUAUUUCAC